UGCGGUGGUAGCUCAGCUGGAUAGAGUAGUCGGCUACGAACCGAUUGGUCGGGGGUUCGAAUCCUCUUCGCCGCACCAA
rnacentral:tRNA from 1 species